UCUCUGGGGUUCCAGUGGCUAAGACUCUGCAUUUGCAAUGCUGGGGACCCAGGUUUGAUCCCUGGUCAGGGAA
rnacentral:tRNA from 1 species